rnacentral:tRNA from 1 species
GCAGACGUAGCUCAGUCGGUAGAGCACCGCGCAGGGAGGUAUGUCGCAGGUUCAAAUCCUGCCGUCUGCACCA